rnacentral:rRNA from 1 species
GAUGAACGCUGGCGGCGUGCCUAAUACAUGCAAGUCGAGCGAACGGACGAGAAGCUUGCUUCUCUGAUGUUAGCGGCGGACGGGUGAGUAACACGUGGAUAACCUACCUAUAAGACUGGGAUAACUUCGGGAAACCGGAGCUAAUACCGGAUAAUAUUUUGAACCGCAUGGUUCAAAAGUGAAAGACGGUCUUGCUGUCACUUAUAGAUGGAUCCGCGCUGCAUUAGCUAGUUGGUAAGGUAACGGCUUCCCAAGGCAACGAUGCAUAGCCGACCUGAGAGGGUGAUCGGCCACACUGGAAGUGAGGCGCGGUCCCGGCUCCUACGGCAGGCAGCAGAAGGGAAUCUUCCGCAAUGGGCGAAAGCCUGACGGAGCAACGCCGAGCGAGUGAUGAAGGUCUUCGGAUCGUAAAACUCUGUUAUUAGGGAAGAACAUAUGUGUAAGUAACUGUGCACAUCUUGACGGUACCUAAUCAGAAAGCCACGGCUAACUACGUG